UACGGGGGGGGCAAGCGUUGUUCGGAAUUACUGGGCGUAAAGGGCUCGUAGGCGGCCAACUAAGUCAGACGUGAAAUCCCUCGGCUUAACCGGGGAACUGCGUCUGAUACUGGAUGGCUUGAAUCCGGGAGAGGGAUGCGGAAUUCCAGGUGUAGCGGUGAAAUGCGUAGAUAUCAGGAGGAACACCGGUGGCGAAGGCGGCUAUCUGGACAGAGUCUGACGCUGAGGCGCGAAAGCUAGGGGAGCAAACAGG
rnacentral:rRNA from 1 species